CCUUAACAUGCGCUACCAAUUAAAUGUUGUUAAAAAAAUUUAUUUUUAAUAUUUAGAAUAAUUUUGUUAUUUAAUAUGAAUUUUAAAUGUAAGCUACUUAUUCUCGAUCACGUUCACAUUUCGGUCGAAAAACCCAGAAAUAUCAAUAUUCACUCAGUUAUGGUCAUUUUAAUGUAUGCUAUUUUUCCUCUUUCAAAAAGUGAUCACAAAUUAUAGCUAAAAACUCCGAAAUGUCAAUAUUUAAGGAGUUAUGGCCAUUUUAAAGUAUGCUAUUUUUCCCCUUUAAAAAACUAAUCACAAAAUGUCAAUAUUUAAGGAGUUAUGGCCAUUUUAAAGUAUGCUAUUUUUCCUCUUUCAAAAAGUGAUCACAAAUUAUAGCUAAAAACCCCGAAAUGUCAAUAUUUAAGGAGUUAUGGCCAUUUUAAAGUAUGUAUUUUUCCUCUUUCAAAAAGUGAUCACAAAACAUAUCUUAAAAUCUCCCACUUAUUUAAAUAUAAUUAAUUUCUGUGUACGUCGAUGCGUCCUACUAAAAUAAUACUAUUCUCCUGAGUAUGUCCGGCUUCUACCGCAAUUCCGAUAAUGAUUUCGGUAAUAUAUGUCCCAACACGUUCCAUUCAUUAAAAUGCUUCAAAUUAAAAAUCAAAUUGGAUAUAUAAAACAAAGUUUCGCCAUCUGAAAUCAGAUCAGUAGACAAAUUAGUUUCAAUCAUGAAGUUUUUUCUAAGUGCUGUAGUUGCUUUGGCUAUAUUAUCUGGUACUGCAAUGGCAAAAAACUAUAAUCGCCUACCACCUCAUAAUUAAUUUUAAAUAUGCAAUGUUUUAAAUAAAAAUUGAUUAUAAAGUA